CCCCAUUGUUUGUUUACAUUUGCUCCCCUCGAGUAUCUGUGAAUUUCCUCAAACAUCGUCAAGCUGUGCAGCCUGGCAGAUUGAUACAAGUUGUAAAAUUCUUGAUUCUCAUUUGAUAAUGGCAAGUGAUAGCGACAGUUCAAGUGAAAAUCUUCUAUCUCAAGCUCUGCCUGUUGCUGCCAUACCUAAGAACUUUGACCCAAGUGUACCCCCAUUGUCUGCUGAACAGUAUCUCCAGCAUGUAGUCUGGGAAGCACGGCAGUGUCAGGAUGUUGUGACAGUUGAAGUAGAUAAAAAGAAAAUACGGAAACAGGGGCCUCUU